UUGUUAAUCCAAUAUGGAGAGAAUUAGAUUUAAAGCAUGGUUAUAAUUAUAACCCGAGUAUAAGAAAGGGAAUUAGGUUUUGAGUUUCCAAAAACCAAAACAUUUUCUCCCGAAAUUUUUCUUCUCCUUCUCCCUCGCGACGGCGCCUUCUCUCUCGGCGGAAACCAAAAGGAAGCUAGGUUUUGGGUCUCCGGCGCCGGCGAAGCCUUAUUCCAGUCAUCCUUCACCGUGGGUGGUCAUCCCGACGGAGAAGAACUUGUGGGCACAAGAGGAAGCCGAAGAUCUUGCAAGACCCGAGCCCUCCGAAAACCCUAAGGCCUUUCCCUUCCUUCUUCUCGGUUGUAAGUGCAAGAACAAGGGAUAAAGGAAAAGCUAAAAUAUAAAAGGGAGGCGACAGGGUGGUGGUGAUGAUGAAGGUGUGUGGUGACUGGACUGUGGAGAGAUCCAGAGUUAAUUGACAAUAUUGUCAAAAACCUUCUGUUUAAUUCUUUAGUUUUCCUUAAGUGCUAUUAUGAGUUGAGACUGUAGUUGAGUUUAUUCUCCACUUGUAAUUGGUUUACUUGUGUUAUUUGUGGAGUACCGUAGUUGGUUAUUUAUGCUAGAGUAGUUCUUUCUUUUCA